AAGUCGAACGAAUCCCCACUGGCGUAGCAAUACAUUGGUGGGGGGAAGUGGCGAAAGGGGCAGUAAUGCGUGGGUAAUCUACCUCGGGGACGUGGAUAGCCAUUCUAACGAGUGGGUAAUACGCGGCGAUUUGGUUGAGGGGCAUCCCUUGGCCAGGAAAUGAAUUUCGCCUCGAGAGGAACUCACGUGAUAUUAGCUAGUUGGCGGGGUAACGGCCCACCAAGGCAAAGAUGUCUAGCGGGUGUGAGAGCACGACCCGCGCCACUGGCACUGAGACACUGGCCAGACACCUACGGGUGGCUGCAGUCGAGGAUCUUCGGCAAUGGGCGCAAGCCUGACCGAGCGACGCCGCGUGUGCGAUGAAGGCCUUCGGGUUGUAAAGCACUGUCGAGGGGGAGGAAGCCGAAAGGUUGACCUAUCCCUGGAGGAAGGACGGGCUAAGUUCGUGCCAGCAGCCGCGGUAAGACGAACCGUCCUAACGUUGUUCGGAAUCACUGGGCUUAAAGGGCGCGUAGGCGGCUUGCCAAGUCAGGGGUGAAAUCCUGCAGCUUAGCUGUAGAAGGGCCUUUGAUACUGGCGAGCUCGAGGGAGGUAGGGGUAUGUGGAACUUCCGGUGGAGCGGUGAAAUGCGUUGAUAUCGGAAGGAACGCCGGUGGCGAAAGCGACGUACUGGACCUCUUCUGACGCUGAGGCGCGAAAGCUAGGGGAGCAAACGGGAUUAGAUACCCCGGUAGUCCUAGCCCUAAACGAUGGGUACUAGAUUGUAGACUUGACAUGGGUUUACAAUCGAAGCAAAAGUGUUAAG
rnacentral:rRNA from 1 species